GACGAACGCUGGCGGCGUGCUUAACACAUGCAAGUCGAACGGAAAGGCCCUGCUUGCCGGGUACUCGAGUGGCGAACGGGUGAGUAACACGUGGGUGAUCUGCCCUGCACUUCGGGAUAAGCCUGGGAAACUGGGUCUAAUACCGGAUAGGAGCCAUUUUUAGUGUGAUGGUUGGAAAGUUUUUUUCGGUGUAGGAUGAGCUCGCGGCCUAUCAGCUUGUUGGUGGGGUAAUGGCCUACCAAGGCGGCGACGGGUAGCCGGCCUGAGAGGGUGGACGGCCACAUUGGGACUGAGAUACGGCCCAGACUCCUACGGGAGGCAGCAGGGGGGAAUAUUGCACAAUGGGCGCAAGCCUGAUGCAGCGACGCCGCGUGGGGGAUGACGGCCUUCGGGUUGUAAACUCCUUUCGCUAGGGACGAAGCUUUUUGUGACGGUACCUAGAUAAGAAGCACCGGCUAACUACGUG
rnacentral:rRNA from 1 species